rnacentral:rRNA from 1 species
AGUGAACGCUGGCGGCAGGCUUAACACAUGCAAGUCGAGCGGGCCCUUCGGGGUCAGCGGCAGACGGGUGAGUAACACGUGGGAACGUACCCUUUGGUUCGGAAUAACGCUGGGAAACUAGCGCUAAUACCGGAUACGCCCUUUUGGGGAAAGGCUUGCUGCCGAAGGAUCGGCCCGCGUCUGAUUAGCUAGUUGGUGGGGUAAUGGCCUACCAAGGCGACGAUCAGUAGCUGGUCUGAGAGGAUGAUCAGCCACACUGGGACUGAGACACGGCCCAGACUCCUACGGGAGGCAGCAGUGGGGAAUAUUGGACAAUGGGCGCAAGCCUGAUCCAGCCAUGCCGCGUGAGUGAUGAAGGCCUUAGGGUUGUAAAGCUCUUUUGUCCGGGACGAUAAUGACGGUACCGGAAGAAUAAGCCCCGGCUAACUUCGUG